rnacentral:rRNA from 1 species
CCUACGGGAGGCAGCAGUGAGGAAUAUUGGUCAAUGGACGAGAGUCUGAACCAGCCAAGUAGCGUGAAGGAUGACUGCCCUAUGGGUGGUAAACUUCUUUUAUAAAGGAAUAAAACGAGGCACGUGUGCCUUUUUGCAUGUACUUUAUGAAUAAGGAUCGGAUAACUCCGUGCCAGCAGCCGCGGUAAUACGGAGGAUCCGAGCGUUAUCCGGAUUUAUUGGGUUUAAAGGGAGCGUAGAUGGGUUGUUAAGUCAGUUGUGAAAGUGUGCGGCUCAACCGUAAAAUUGCAAUUGAUACUGGCAGUCUUGAGUACAGUUGAGGUAGGUGGAAUUCGUGGUGUAGCGGUGAAAUGCUUAGAUAUCACGAAGAACCCCGAUUGCGAAGGCAGCUUACUAAACUGUGACUGACAUUGAUGCUCGAAAGUGUGGGUAUCAAACAGGAUUAGAUACCCUGGUAGUC